CUAAUGAUAAAAACAUACCACAGCCAAUGUCUGAACUCCUUCCAAGAAAGGAUACAGAAUUGAAGACUGUAGAUUCCUGGGUAAGCCUGUGUAAAACGAUGAAGCUUCCAGCUCCAAUAAAAGCAUCUGCUGAGAGCUUCAAUCAGUUCAGGGAUGCAGUACUAAAGAGGAGUGGGCAAGUGCAGGAGGCAAAAAGGUCUCUUGGGCAUGCUGAGAGGGAGCUGCAAAAUCUUCCGCAAGAAAACAAAAGAUUUGUAGCUACUUCUGUAGGCCCUGAAAGCACAAGAUUGGAUGCCAUGGCAGUGCCAGACUGUGAGCUUGAAAAAGAAAUGCCUAAGAGUAAACUGCCCGAAGCUCAACAAUGUGUUCUUGAUCAAG
rnacentral:lncRNA from 1 species